rnacentral:rRNA from 1 species
UAAGGGAUAUUGCGACAAUGGGCGAAAGCCUGACGCAGCAACGCCGCGUGUGGGAUGACGGCCUUCGGGUUGUAAACCACUUUCGGGGGAAGAGGAAGGACGGUACCCCCGGAAGAAGUCUCGGCUAACUACGUGCCAGCAGCCGCGGUAAAACGUAGGAGGCAAGCGUUAUCCGGAUUUACUGGGUGUAAAGCGCGUGCAGGCGGACUUUCAAGUCGCGUGUGAAAGCGCCCGGCUCAACCGGGCGAGGCCGCGCGAAACUGAAAGACUGGAGGCCGGUAGAGGCGUGUGGAAUUCCGGGUGUAGUGGUGAAAUGCGUAGAGAUCCGGAGGAACACCAGUGGCGAAGGCGACACGCUGGACCGAGCCUGACGCUCAGACGCGACAGCAUGGGGAGCGAACGGGAUUAGAAACCCCGGUAGUCCAUGCCGUAAACGAUGCGAACUAGGUGUGGCGGGUAACCAUUCCGGCUGUGCCGCAGCUAACGCGCUAAGUUCGCCACCUGGGGACUACGGCCGCG